GACGCUUAACUGACUGAGCUACCCAGGCACCCCCAUAAUCAUAUUCAUUUAAAGACAAAAGAACUGGGGACAAAAGAAGUUAUAUGACAUGUGCAAAGUCCAUAAAUUUGUACGCAGCCUAUGAGAACUGGAGAGGCCUGAGAAAUCAUGGAGUCCAAACCACUAACUUUACAAAGGAGAAAUCUGAGGCCCUCAGAGGUUUAGUGAUGGUUACUGUAGGCAGAGCCCGGAUGAGAAUUCAAGCCACCUGACUUGGAGAUUAGUGGCUGAUACUAUACCACACCUCCCCACUCUACAGCGGCAGAAUGUAGGAAGGAGAAAGUGAAGAGCACAGAGAUCUAAAAGCAAUAUGGACACACACACAGAAAAAAAAGACCUGCAAUGGCCAAAACUAAGCUGUGAAAGUUAAAGAUGGUGGCAGAGCAUGAAGCAUGGCAUAUGAGAGAAUAAAAGUGGUAGCGAAGAAGACGUCUGAGAACUGACAGCUCCCUCAAGCUGAUCACCAGCUGCUAAUAUGGGCCCCUCAUGGCUUGGGUGCUCCUUGGUGCCACCACGCUGCUUCAUUUGUACGUUUGACCUUUUCAUCUAUGAGUAUGUUUCUCAAUAGCAGUGUCACAACAUUUUGGAUAAAUUUUCUGUUAUACAAGAUUGUCCUGUACAUUACAGGUAGUUUAGUCUUAAUGCCAGUAACACCUUUGGCAACCAAGUCCCAACAAAAAAACACAUUUUUCAAAUAUCCACUACAACCUAUUGAGAAACACUGGCUUACCCUAAACUUUCCUAAACUAAAAAAUAUAAUAUGUAAAAAAGCAAAAUUUAA